UGGUUGAUGACCGUAGGUUCUUUCGAGGCCAUUCGAGUUUAACGCUUUCUCCCGAUGCUCGAGCUUGGGGGUUCGAACUUCUCGUUACUUUGAGGAGGUUGAUUUAUCCUCGGCCCAUGUCAGGUUUCCUCUUAGCGACCGAGACGAAGUUCCUUAUGUCUUUGAUGUACGUUUUUAUUUGUCGUAGAAGUAGUUCGUCGGCUUUUCUUUUUCAUCUUCUCCUUUCUCUUUCGCGUACGAGUGAGGGUUUUCCCCCUGCUCUUAACGGGGUCGUGAAAGCGUAGAGGUGUUGUUGAGG
rnacentral:lncRNA from 1 species